rnacentral:rRNA from 1 species
GAUGAACGCUGGCGGCGUGCCUAACACAUGCAAGUCGAGCGGGAUGUAUAUGGACGAAACUUCGGUCUAGGAAAUAUAUUGACAGCGGCGGACGGGUAAGUAACGCGUAGGCAACCUGCCCUUAACACAGGGAUAGCCUCGGGAAACCGGGAUUAAAACCUGAUAAUGCCAAAUAGUCACAUGGCUGGUUGGCCAAAGAUUUAUCGGUUAAGGAUGGGCCUGCGUCUGAUUAGUUUGUUGGUGGGGUAACGGCCUACCAAGACUACGAUCAGUAGCCGACCUGAGAGGGUGAUCGGCCACAUUGGAACUGAGACACGGUCCAAACUCCUACGGGAGGCAGCAGUGGGGAAUAUUGCACAAUGGGCGAAAGCCUGAUGCAGCAACGCCGCGUGAGCGAUGAAGGCCUUUGGGUCGUAAAGCUCUGUCCUUGGGGAAGAAAAAAAUGACGGUACCCAAGGAGGAAGCCCCGGCUAACUACGUGCCAGCCGCCGCAGUAA